ensembl:lncRNA
CUCCCUCACACAGUGAUGCAAUGGUGCCGGCUGCCUUGUGGUGGGUUGGGGUCCCCCCCUCGCUAACACAGUCACAGCCAUGAAUACCAGCCAAAACCACACACACAUACACACACACACUCCACAGCUUAGUCAAGCUGCUCAAGCCCUGGGCUUCUUGGCUCUGUCUAUAUUUGUGUAUCAGCACUAUUCUGGGCUGAUUGAAUACUGAAUAAUCAAAAAAGCCAAAAAUCAGGAGCUAAACAAAUCAACCUUGCGCUCGGUUUAAACAGAAUUUUCAAAUUCUCCUUCAUGAGCUCCAUUGGCAUCGUUACUAUGCUGCACCGUGUCCACGUACAACCCAAGCGCACACUAAAUACAAUGAAGUAAAGAAGAAAACCACACCCCAUUGGAAGCAGGAGCACUACCCAGUCACUAGGAUCAUGGCCACACCCACCUCACCAGCACCACUCAACACCACGCUCCAAAAUAUGACGUAAUCUUGGCAAACCUUACCCUACUUCACACCGCACAAGAACCUUCCAAGAACCCUUCAGAGUCGUGAUCAUCUCCGAGAACUUCUCGGAUCAGCCUCGAGAACACUUUUGUCCGUAGUAGUAAACAUGUUACCAUGACGACGCAAUCAAGGAAACACCUUAAAAGAUCUAACCAAUAGCACUAACAAACUCAAGAGGUUAUAGGUCGUAGAAACCGUGACUGGACUCAUGAGCAUGAACGCACUUCUGUGCUAGAGAGCUCUUAGCAUGUGUGUGAAGGAUGCCCCAGUCUUUUUUUUCCCUCUCGGAUUUCCCCCUUUAUUCUGUCUACUGUCCGUCUCUCAGUUACUGACUAUAGACUAUACCAUAGUGUACAUGCUAUCUUUUUUCCUUUUUUAAAAUUUUUUAAUUUGAUAUUAUCCACAUAAAUUGACAUUUCCCUACAUGUUCUUUACAUUUAUUUUUUAAAUGCACAUUUUUUUUACAAUACAGAAAAAAAUAUCCCAAAUUUACAUUUGACCAAAUGUACAUUUUUUCACUGACUUUUUUUGUACAUUAUUUUUUAUUUGCAUUCCCCUUCCCUAGAUUUACAUUGUUUCCUACAUAUUUUAUCAAAAAUGUCCAGAUUUAAUUUUUACAUUACCCCUUUCCCAUUUUACAUUUUCUUUACAUUUAUUUCCUAAAUGGAUAUUUUUCUCUACAUUUCCCUUACUAUUUUCCCCAUUUGACAUUUUUACAACAUUAAAAAAAAUCCCUUUCCAAAUUUACCCACAAACAUUUGCAUAAAUUUAUUUUUGUUUUCUCCAGCAUAUUUUUUUUAAAUAUCCCUCUUCUACCAAAUGUACAUUUUCCCCAUAAUUCUUUCCCAAAUUAAUUAUUUCCCCCCAAUUUUUUGGAGGACAUUUCCCCCCAUUAUUGCUCUAUUUUCCCCUAAAUGUACAAUUUUUCAAACUUUUUUCCCCCACGUUUGCUUUUACAUUUCCCCGGAAAGGUAAUUUUUUUAAAAAAUAAUUUUUUUCCCCAAAUUCAGAUAUUUUCCCCUAAAAAAGGUAAUAAAUUAGAGGAUGAUGGGAACGCCCUAAACUUGUUGCAGGUAGAGCUGCGCACCAACGGGUUCCCUCACCAAUGACGUCAAUCUUUAGUCUCAUGAUGGUGAAACGUUUAUGGUGGGGUGUCUCAGGUGAAGUGAAGGAGACAAGAGGACCAAAAUGACUGAUUAGCUCUGGUUGAAUAUCAGUAUCGUUUACAAUGGAAAGGAAUUGGCAUGUAGUGAUGCUAACUCUCUCUCUCUCUCUCUCUCUCUCUCUCUCUCUCUCUCUCUCUCUCUCUCUCUCUAUCCCCCUUUUUCUGUCUCUGUUUUCACUCUUCAGAGGACAGGAUGGGAUUGGCGAGGAGAACCUGCUGGUUUCCAGCCGGCUCUGUGUGCAUCACCCCUCCCUCCAUCCCCUGUAGGUGUUAUAAAGAGAGCGGGAUCUCAGUGUAAUCUGUCCGGACUAAUUUAGCUCCUGUCAGUCUACACGCGCAGCAUGGGUAUUCUGUCUCACACACCUGUAUGUGCACACACACACACACACACACACACACACACAUUUUGCUCCCACAUAUACUAGCGGGAAAAGGACAUGGAAUCCUGUUUCAGUGUGGAAAAUCCGAUUUCUUUCCUUUAAGAUUGAUUAAGCCGGAUUCGUGAGCUGCAUUAGAGUACCUUUCAGGAAAAGUUGUGUUAUCUGUCACAUAGAAAAUGUGUAACAUUUAAAACCCGAAAGAAAGGGGGAAAAAAAGCGCAAGAACAAAGACGCGCGAUCUGGUCUGAAAGAAAAACCAGCAGCGUUAACGAAGGGAAAAGACGCAGGCUGGACGUAAAUAAAGACGAUAGCGGAUAUUUACAUGUUCUGUAUAUGAGCGUUUGGUAUCGUACUGACGAGUCCGUUACAGGUUGAGGUCUCACUGCACAAUUCAUGCAAGAGAUACCAUCCUGUUUUGGGAUAGGGGGUUGAAAGAAAUGCGAAGAAUUGAUCGAAUCCAAAAUUUAAAGAUCCUAAAAUCCAGUUAAGAUGUUUGAUUUUUUUUUAAGUGUGUGUGUGUGUGUGUGUGUGGUGUGGUGUGUGUGUGUGUGUGUGCUAAGUUUGAAGGGAAAGGUUAAAGCGUCAGGUUCUCAGAGUGUGGAAGCGUGCAGCAUCGUACCUCUUUCAGCGCAGACCCAGAACCGUGUCCUAAUUUAGCACCGUAUCUAUUUCUGUCCGAGCCUUGGGGGAAUACCUACAUUUGUCAAAGGGAGUGUGUGUGUGUGUGUGGGUGAGCAUGGCAUGGAUGCCGAAUACGAGGAGAUACUCUACUAAGUGUAGUCGUUAGUUGCUUUCGGUCAACGCAGUGGCACACUUACUCUAACCAAGAGUCUAGCAUCCCAACAAACACACACACACACACACACACACACACACACACACACACACACACACACACACACACACACAUUUCAAUAUAACUCAACACAAAAUUCUUCCCCAAAGCUCCUCCACCAAGAUAUAAAAAUGACUCAAGCUUUCCAAACAAAGACAAAACAACACUAAAGCAAAAACCCACACCUUAAAUGUCAUUGCAAAAAAAAAAAAGAUAGAUAGAUAGAUAGAUCUGUGUCUGGAGUUCACGUUUAUGGAAGAAGGGGCGUGUAGGAUGCGUUCAGCUGCACUCACCUCAACCUCGCUCUCUGUCCUUGCCGGCGCUGUGAAAAGGAUUGGCUCUGAGCAGCCGAGCUACUGCACACUGAGACAAUGGAGCAGAGAGAGAGAUAGAGAGAGGGAGAGAGAGAGAGAGAGAGAGAGAGAGAGAUGGGGAGGGGAGGAGAAUGAAGGAGAGUGAAGGAGCGAAGGAGUGAGAGAAGGAGGGGUGCACAAGGAGAGGGUCUGAAGUAGACGGCCAAUCAGUGCAGAAAUCAGCACGGGCUAUCUGACGAAAUGCCUGUGGAUUAGCGAUGUGCGGCUUUCAGAAGAAGAAGAAGGGAAAAAAUGUGGCGAGCGGAGAGAAAGAGAGAGCGAGAGAGAGAGAAGGGCCUUGGUGAAUAAAUGAGAAAAGGGUGGGGGGGGGGGGGGGGUACAAGGUGCCAAGUUCUUUCUUUUCUGGAUUGCAAAGUGUAAUCAAAGGUCAAGGGGUGCAGCUUGAGUUGCUUCCUUAAAAUGUAAAAAUGUUAAAUAUAUCUGGAGUGGCGAGAUGGAAAGAAGUCUACGAUCACUCUUUGAGUCUCAUUCUCACGGGAUGGCGAGGAUAGCAUCUCGUACUUGCUCCGGAAUCUUGACUCGGCCCUCCCUCUUUCCCUCCCUCUUUCCCUGAGCCCACCGUUCUCUCUCCUUUAAUCUCCUCAGGGGUCCCACUUUCUCUCUCCGUAUCCCGUAUAUCGGCUCUGGAUCAUCAAGCGCUACGUCUUGGGUGGUUCAACAACCCCCUCUCCCCCCCCAGCAUCACACCUCUCCACCCCUCCACACCACCUCUUUAUGCCCACAGAUAAUACAAGGAUUGAGGGGGAAAAAAUGCCACUUCCCGCAAAAAAACAAAACAAAACAAACCCUGCACCAGGUGUUCCGUACAGAUUGGCCACUCGUCUGGAUCGGGAAGGGCGCGGGCAAUCUCCAGCUCCAAUUAUUUUGGCCUCAAAAGCCGAAAAAGAGGACAAGGGUCUGACUCAAAAAGGCCUUUUGGUGUGGUAAGGAAUGAAACGGAAAGAAAAGUGCUUUUCAGAGUCGCCGAAGUCCUGAGAAUUCUACACAAUUAGACCGAAAAUGUCCCAAACUGUGCCUCUGAGAGCGAGAGCGAGAGCGAGGGAGGGGAGAGCGGGAGGGAGGGAGCCAGAGGAUCAGAGAUUGUUAAGGCCGAAAAAUCGACUGUACAAGUUUGUACGAAAGAUAGUUUUGCACCCCGAGAUGAAGAAAAAAAAGCGAGGAUGGAUUGGUUUUCUUUCAGCAGCUGCCCCGUUCGGUGUGGGUCUUUUCUUCUUUUUGGCGUUUUGUUCUCGCACGGAGAGCUCUUGCCGGGACGAUCCAUCACACGGACAGGAAGAACGAGUGCGGUGCGCUGAGUCGCGGCAGGUGCUGCAUCCGUCUCUCUCUUCCUCGGCCGGACAAAGCUCUCCCCCCUGCUCCCUCUCCUCUUUUCUCCAUCCUCUCCUCUCACGGCUCUCCGGCUGCUCAUUUACUCUUCCUUGGCCGUGACAAAAAAACAAGUGGGAUAGCGUUGUGUGGGAUAGAGAGAGAGAAAGACACGUGGAGAGAAAAUAAAUGUAGAAACAAAAACAGGAGGAGGGUGACAAAAAUGAGAUGGAGGGGGAAAGAUGAAUGGAUUCAUAUAGAAGUGAGUCGUCUGAGGGAGGAAGGGAGGGAAAGAGGGAGGGAAUGAGGGAACGAGGGAGGAUGUAAGCGAGUUCUCUUGUCCCACACACACUCCCCCAUGCCUGGGAAAAAAGUGUGGGAGAGAUGAAGUGGCGGAGGUGGCGGUGAUUCAGCCGACAGCCUCUCCCAUCCUCUUCGCUCUGUGCGCCUGAAGAAGGGAACCAGCUCAUGCACACCAAGCCUCCUCUCUCCUCUCCUCUCCUCUACUCCCCUCCCUCUUCUCCUCCCUUUCCCCAUCUCUCUAUCUCUUUCUUUCUUUCUCUCUCGCUAUUUUUCUCCCGCACACGUUCAGUUCAUUACAAUUCACUGGUUCUUACCGUGACACGCUUCACUAACCCACUCAGUGAGCCUAGGCAAAG